UGCCGUGUAAUUUGAGUAUAAUAAAGUCUGUUUCUUGUGAGGUUUUCUGUCCUUAGAUAAAGAGAGAUAUGAAAGCCUGUCUACAGAUGAAGAGGUCCCAAUGAAGAGCAGUGGUUCUCAGUCCUGGGGACUCAAAGGGGUGCACAUUUUUGUUUUUGCCUUAGCACUGCACAGCUGAUUCAAAUGAUCAACUCAUCAUCAAGCUUCAAGUGAUACCUUGCAACUGGAGAUUCUUUCAAAACGAUUGGCUACAGUUACCGUGUAGGGCACUGCAAGGUUGGGUGACCAGGGCCAUCUGGGACUGCCUCCUGGAGGAAUCCAGGUGUGUGAAGGCUACUUGUGUUCUGCAUAACUUCAUGAGGAACAGGAGGGGAUCUGCAGCUCGCCGCUGUGUGCCAGAGGAGAAAGUCUGGUGCUCAGCAGGAUGCGUCAAGGAUGGGGUCCAACAAUGCAGCAAGAGAGGCAAUCCGUGUGCGUGAGAUCUUCACCUCCUACUUCUUUGAAGAGGGUGCUGUUCCCUGGCAACACCUUAGACUACACUAUGCACAACCAAAGGCUUUUAAGAGCCAUCCACAUUGCAAUUAGAGUAUUCUUCCAUUUACUUAGCUAUGUCAACUGCAGUUAUUCAAUUCCCAGUUUAUCUCCCUUUUGAUUUCUACUUCUCAGGUGAGGGUGCUGUUUAGGUAAGGGUGUCUGCACAAAAACAAAACAGGCUAUUUUAAGUCACCCAUAUUGAAAAAAAUUAACAAUUAGACAUAACCCACACCUAUAACCCACACCUACACACUCAUGUAUCAAUCUGAUUGAUGGAUUGUGUUGUGCAGUAAGCAGGCUCAGGUGUAUAACUGUGGCUACUUCCACCUUCAAAGAAUAGGCAAGAGGGCCAACCAUGGAGAAUAGUAAAACACUUAAUUAUUUCUAUAACUAUGCUAUAUUGUUUGUCCUUGUGUCUGUGCAUGUAUUUCAGUAUAAAGUACCCUCCAGUCACUUUGAUUGGACACCAGGUGAGGCCACACACACAGAUUCCUGUUGAAGACUUGUCUUUUUAACUACCUUUUUUUUCUCAAUAACAGUCUCUCUCCUUCACUUCAUCCCUCUCUCCCCUUCUCCCUAAGUCCUCUAAGUUAUCAGCUGUGUCAGUGAAUCCCUCCCGCAUCUGAACUGGCUACAUAGAGGGCACAGCAUGAUCAGAGGAAUGUUUUGAUAUAAGAGAGGAUGCCAACCCCCAGUCCCGUCAUCGCCACCUUACCCUCUCUUAAGAUAACCUUCGGGCUGAUGAGAGACACUAUUGUAACUGUGAUGAACUGAGAUCAUAUUAGGGUAGCACUGUGACUCAUUAAUCAUAUUCUGCCUUCCCUGCUCUGUUCUUUCCCUUUCUGUCCUUUACACCUCUCUCGCCACCUCUUUCUUCCUGUUUUUAGAAUGCACAACAGCUGUGCAUUGAAGUAAAGAUUGAACUUGCAUUUAUAAUAUAUUACAAUUAUGAUAUUUAUAAUGCGCAUAUUUAUAACACUAUUGAACUUCUCAUUUGAUGAAAUACUAGACCUAUCCUGUGUUUAUCAGAUCAAUUGUCACGACUUCCACUGAAGUCGGUUCCUCUCCUUGUUCGGGUGGCGUUUGGCGUCACCGGACUUCUAGCCAUCGUCGAUCCACUUUCAUUUUCCAUUUGUUUUGUCUUGUUUUCCUACACACCUGGUUCUCAUUUCCCUCAUUAAGUGUUGUAUAUUUACCUUUCUGUCCCCCCAUAUCUUUGUGGUAAUGGUUACUAGUGCGCGUCAGGUUUU